UUAAGAAGUCGUUGAUCUAUUUUAAUAAAACUGGGUGGUAAAUUUUACAUUUUCAGAAAACUGUGUACUCUGCAACAAUGCAUCAGAAUCAGACUCGCAAUGGUUAUGUACAGAAAUUCGUGACGUGUGCUGGAAACAGACCACCCCUAUUUGAACUUCAAUCAGAUUUAGAAGAUGUCAACAACCUCUGUGCGAUCCAAAUGAAAAAUAUAGUUCAAGCUGGCCUUCUAUUAAUUAUUUUAAUUCUGACCCAUUUGCCAAUCUAAAGUACAAAGAAAUUAAAAUACAAUAAAAAGUAUACUCAUAAUAUCUA